UCUCCGUUGGUGAACCAGCGGAGGGAUCAUUACCGAGUUGCAAAACUCCCAAACCCACUGUGAACCUAUACCACUGUUGCUUCGGCGGAUACGCCCCGGGCGCACCCCCUCCAGGGGGUUGUGCCCCGGAACCAGGCGCCCGCCGGGGGACCUACAAACUCUUGUAUUCCUAGCGGAUCUCUGAGUGUGAUUUAAACAAAUCAAAUCAAAACUUUCAACAACGGAUCUCUUGGCUCUAGCAUCGAUGAAGAACGCAGC
rnacentral:misc_RNA from 1 species